UGGCGAACGGGUGAGUAACGCGUGAGGAACCUGCCUCAAAGAGGGGGACAACAGUUGGAAACGACUGCUAAUACCGCAUAAGCCCACGACCCGGCAUCGGGUAGAGGGAAAAGGAGCAAUCCGCUUUGAGAUGGCCUCGCGUCCGAUUAGCUAGUUGGUGAGGUAAUGGCCCACCAAGGCGACGAUCGGUAGCCGGACUGAGAGGUUGAACGGCCACAUUGGGACUGAGACACGGCCCAA
rnacentral:rRNA from 1 species